CACGACAAACGGACUCCGUACUCUGUACCGAUCAUUCGACCAGGUAAUCGCGCCAAAAUUAUCAUCAAUCAAUCCGCCAUCCGAUCUGAAGCUCACCUGCGGAUGGGCUCCAGUUAGGGUGUUGAGAUUUGAUCAUGGCGGCGAGGCCAGAAACAUGUGGACAGGCCAUAGAAGUUCCUGAAAGUAUAUAGAAAUGAGGGGGUUUCUUGCCAGUGAGUUUUACUACAGAAUCUUUGUCUGGCCAUGCUGCGAGAAUGGCCACCCCUGGUGCUGCAACAUCAGGCUGCAAUGUAAUCCAAUCACGCGAAAGUCAAUAAACUAACUUUUGUAUAUUAUAGUCCCUAAACUUGUCUAAAUGCGCUCGCAAAAUUGUUAAA